rnacentral:lncRNA from 1 species
AAACAUUGGUGUUUUAGAUCACAAAAUCCUUGAGUUAAGAGAGUUAUUCAAUAUUCAUAGUUCAAGCACAACUCUCUUUCAACCAAUCUACUUAUUCCCAACUUUCCCUUUUUCUUUUGCAUUGAGCUUUAUCUUUCAUGCUUUUCUUUUCUUUUAUUUUCUAUUCUUCUCAUGCUUUUAUCAUUCAACACAUUUUACUCAAUGCUUUCUCUUUUGCCUUUCAACUUCCCCCAACAACCCCAAACUUGAACCAUACCAUAAAAUAUUUCUCAACAUAACUCAAGGUAAAGAUUUUUAUCAACAAGGUUUUCAAAGUGUAUAGGCUAAGGUUCAAAAAGGGUAGAACACAUGGUUCUCUUUACUUUUGGCGAAAAUUUGGCUAAGUAAGGGUUUCCAAAAAUGGCCUUGAUCAUAUGACAUAAGCAUCCAAUUCAAUCAAUCAUACAGAUUCAGACAAUAUCAUUCAUGCUUUCAAUUGGAUAACAAAUAUAUCAACAAUUACUCUGAAGCUCAAAACCUCACUCAAUUAUGCUUUCUCAAUCAUUCAGUCAUACAUCCUGCUUAGCAUCAUAACCACAAUCAUAACUCAACAUGCACCUGUUCACACAACUUGUGAACAAUUCACCUGUAUAGAAGCAUAUAUAGCAAUCUCAAUUAUCAUCCACAUCAAACAUUAUCAAGCAUACUCAUCAUGCAUUUAAAACAAGUCAAACCACAAUCAGAUAAAAUGUUCAGACAAGUUCACACAAACCUACACUACCCAACUAAAGCAAACCUAUACUACAAAUUCAAAUUACAAAAGAAAAAGAAAAAUAAACCCUGCUUUUAUGCAUAUGACAUCCAUCAGUAGAUGUGAAAUCAGACCAUGCUGUCAUCAUAAUCAUCAUCAUCAUCUCCAACCUCUGCAUCCUCAAAGGCGUCAUCGUCCUCAUCGUCAUCCAUCACUACAGCUUCAGCUACUCUAGAUCCACUGCCCUGUGCCUGCUCUUGUGGCCAUGCCAUAGUACUAUGGAAC